rnacentral:rRNA from 1 species
AGUGAACGCUGGCGGUAGGCCUAACACAUGCAAGUCGAACGGCAGCACAGUAAGAGCUUGCUCUUACGGGUGGCGAGUGGCGGACGGGUGAGGAAUACAUCGGAAUCUACUUUUUCGUGGGGGAUAACGUAGGGAAACUUACGCUAAUACCGCAUACGACCUACGGGUGAAAGCAGUGGAUCUUCGGACCUUGCGCGAUUGAUUGAGCCGAUGUCGGAUUAGCUAGUUGGCUGGGUAAAGGCCCACCAAGGCGACGAUCCGUAGCUGGUCUGAGAGGAUGAUCAGCCAAACUGGAACUGAGACACGGUCCAGACUACUACGGGAGGCAGCAGUGGGGAAUAUUGGACAAUGGGCGCAAGCCUGAUACAGCCAUACCGCGUGGGUGAAGAAGGCCUUCGGGUUGUAAAGCCCUUUUGUUGGGAAAGAAAAGCAGCAGGUUAAUACCCCGCUGUUCUGACGGUACCCAAAGAAUAAGCACCGGCUAACUUCGUG